UACGGAGGGUGCGAGCGUUGUCCGGAAUUAUUGGGCGUAAAGAGCUCGUAGGCGGUCUGUCGCGUCGGCUGUGAAACUCGGGGCUCAACUCCGAGCUUGCAGUCGAUACGGGCAGGCUAGAGUUCGGCAGGGGAGACUGGAAUUCCUGGUGUAGCGGUGAAAUGCGCAGAUAUCGGGAAGAACACCCGUGGCGAAGGCGGCUCUCUGGGACGGUACUGACGCUGAGACGCGAAAGCGUGGGGAGCGAACAGG
rnacentral:rRNA from 1 species